CUUUGUUAAAAUGGAAACGGGAAUUUUGAAUAAUGGUGACAUUAAGAACGAAUAAGAAAGGGGGUUUUAAUAAACUAGUUAGUACUUUUGCAGGAAAUUUUGGUUUAGAUCCUUCUGUAAGGGAAGAGGGUAUGAUAAAGACAUAGCACCAAGUGGGAAUAUUGCAUUUCUUGUAUGAUUUUCCUGAAAGGGAAUGGCGGAUAUGUGGAGGAAUAGUGCUAUUGAAGUCACCCUUGUCCAAGCAAACCUACUGUUUAAAUCUCUCCUCCAUUUCUUCCCAACGUCCUUUCACCUACCUUCGCCAAAUGGGGUGGCUUAAGUCCCUCCUCUCCCCACUGAAGAAAAUCUGGGAACGGCUACACUCCAGCAACCGAAAGCCUAGGGGAAUUUAUAUAUUGUACAAGGACGUGAAGUCUUGCCCAUGCGAAGAUGUGCAAGUUCUGUGGUCUAUACUGGUCGAGUCACGAACACCUUCUUUGCCAUCAACGUGAUGAUCAAGUCUCUCUUGCCGGCCUUAUAGCAAAACCAUAAAACAGGAUGAUAAUUUUCACUUCAUGUACAUAAAUACUACAUUGUACUUAUGAGUAAUCAUAUUUCUCUGCACUGUUUCCCUUU